rnacentral:rRNA from 1 species
AUUGAACGCUGGCGGCAUGCUUUACACAUGCAAGUCGAACGGUAACAGGCCGCAAGGUGCUGACGAGUGGCGAACGGGCGAGUAAUGCAUCGGAACGUGCCCAGUCGUGGGGGAUAACUACUCGAAAGAGUAGCUAAUACCGCAUACGAUCUAUGGAUGAAAGCGGGGGACCGUAAGGCCUCGCGCGAUUGGAGCGGCCGAUGUGAGAUUAGGUAGUUGGUGGGGUUAAGGCUCACCAAGCCAACGAUCUGUAGCUGGUCUGAGAGGACGACCAGCCACACUGGGACUGAGACACGGCCCAGACUCCUACGGGAGGCAGCAGUGGGGAAUUUUGGACAAUGGGCGCAAGCCUGAUCCAGCAAUGCCGCGUGCAGGAAGAAGGCCUUCGGGUUGUAAACUGCUUUUGUACGGAGCGAAACGGCUCUGGUUAAUACCCGGGGCUAAUGACGGUACCGUAAGAAUAAGCACCGGCUAACUACGUG